rnacentral:rRNA from 1 species
GAUGAACGCUGGCGGCGUGCCUAAUACAUGCAAGUCGAGCGAACAGAUGAGAAGCUUGCUUCUCUGAUGUUAGCGGCGGACGGGUGAGUGACACGUGGUAACCUACCUAUAAGACUGGAAUAACUCCGGGAAACCGGGGCUAAUGCCGGAUAAUAUUUAGAACCGCAUGGUUCUAAAGUGAAAGAUGGUUUUGCUAUCACUUAUAGAUGGACCCGCGCCGUAUUGCUAGUUGGUGGGGUAAUGGCUUACCAAGGCAACGAUCCGUAGCCGACCUGAGGGGGUGAUCGGCCACACUGGAACUGAGACACGGUCCAGACUCCUACGGGAGGCAGCAGUAGGGAAUCUUCCGCAAUGGGCGAAAGCCUGACGGAGCAACGCCGCGUGAGUGAUGAAGGUCUUCGGAUCGUAAAACUCUGUUAUUAGGGAAGAACAAAUGUGUAAGUAACUGUGCACGUCUUGACGGUACCUAAUCAGAAAGCCACGGCUAACUACGUGCCAGCCGCCGCCGUAA